rnacentral:misc_RNA from 1 species
UGAAGUGGUGGUGGGUAUAUGGGACAGAAUAAGGCAUUCUAGACACAUCAGAAACCAUCUUCUGCGAUUGUUAUAAAAGCUACAUUUAUUUUGGUAUCCAACCCUCAAGGAUUAGCAAGAAAGGUACAAUUUGUAAGUCCAGCACAGGGUGUGGAAGGUUUGCAUAUACCUAUAAAUUUUUGGUAGUUUAUAUGAACAACAAAAACUAUGACGUUUGACUUUGAUGCUCCAGUAGUAAACAAACAUUGAGAUUUGAGACAUCCAUAUCAAAUGCCUUCUAUAUCAUUAACUAACUAAUAUUUUUAAGGGAUUUAAGGUCAAUUUAGCACGUAGGCUCAAUUAGACACACAAGACAUUUCUAUGGUCAAUUAAUACCUUGAAUUUGGUAAAGAUAUUUCCAGAGUCAAUUGUAUCUUGAAGUUGGCAAAGACAUUUCUAUAGUCAAUUAUAUCCUGAAUUUGUCAAAUUAGAUCAAUUUGACACAAAUCUAGACUGUCCGAACACGCACUGCAAAGGAGCUAGCGAAGGGAAAAUUGACCUUUUGCCCAAAAUGAAUUUUUCCCGCAAGAGGUCCCUUUCCUUUCCUACAUGUCUAUCUCUUGCAUUUUUGGCCCUAAAAAUUGUAUUGUUGUUCUUUUUUCUUACUAUUAUUAUUUUUUUUUAGCUCUAUCUUUAGAGAAUUUGUCACCCUGACUAUUCAUUUUUACCCUAACAUAUAGUUGUUGGACCAGGAUACUGUACUGGAUUUAAGCAACAUAGUUUAAAGUUUUUCAAACAUUCUCCAGCAUCUUUUAAUCAGAAACCAACAAAUAAAGGCUGGGGUGUUUUAAUGGUUUAGUAUCUCAGCAUCCACAGCAAAAAUAAACUGAAAUCAUGACUAAGAAGGGUAAGAGCUUACAAGAGCUUGGCAUUUUUCA